rnacentral:lncRNA from 12 species
CCUACAUCCAUGUGGGCUGUAUGCUAAUCCUCCGUGUGUCUGGGCAGCUCCAUCAAAACCUGUCCCAAACCCAUGCCCAUCCUCCCUCUCUGCCCACUGUUCUCCUGGUCCAGGCUGCCAGUCUCUCCCUGGGACAACUGCCGCGGCCACAUGAAACUUCUCCCGCAAAAAAAGAAAGAAAGAAAGAAAGAAAGAAAGAAAGAAAGAAAGAAAGAAAGAAAGAAAGAAAGAAAGAAAGAGAAAGAAAGAAACUUCUCCCGCUUCCCCAGCAUGGCCCUCAGCUCCUCUGUUAGCAUGCUUCCCAAAAUGCACGCUCAUCACGUCCCCUACUCCUACUGAGAACCUUCUGGCAGCUUCUCAUCACACACAGAGUGAAAUGUAACAGGUUCAAAUGGCCUCAAAGUCCCCGUGACAUGGUCCUAGCUCCAUCACCACCCCAUCCCACACCUCUCCCUUCACUCAUUCUCCUGGCUCCAAGCUUGUCCUGCUCUCCCUCAAAUGAAGCUCAUUCUGGCAUUAGACCUUUGUCGCCAACUGUUCCCUCUGAGUCGAUUCUGGCCCCAGCAGCCCACCCCUUCUGGCCUGUGGUGGACAAUGAUGCAAAACAGAGCCUUGACACCACAGUAUUAUUUGCUCAUUCACCAAGCACUGCUGGCACUUCUUAUUUUUGGAGAUCGAAUGUGCCUCUGUGGGCACUGGAGCAACCGCACAAAGGAUCCUGGAAUAGCAGGGCUGGUGGCGGGCGGGGGGGGGGGGGAGGGAUAUCCAAGGGUGAAUCUGAGGCUUGGGUCCUGGACAUCUGCCUCCUCCCCAUUUUUAGAGAUGUGCUCCUGGGUCAUUUACCCAACCAUCAAAACUGGCACGUAUGGAGGGCCCACUGCAUGCCAGACACAAUUCAAAGCGCCUUCCUGACACCUCCAUCGUGGAUGUGGGACCCUGGGGUGACCGGGCUGGGUUUUCUCCGGGAGCUGUCUGCUGAGCUCAGGGUACGUGAAGAUCUCCUCCAUCAUAGAAAAUCCGUUGAGCACGAAGUUGAUCUACAGUCUGUCAAAAAAUCGUUUAGCAGCCCACAGACAGCUUCUCUGACAAGGGUGAUAGCUACCUCUAAAGAAUGGGUUUCCUGGGGCGCCUGGAUGGCCCAGUCAGUUAAGCGUCUGCCUUCAGCUCGGGUCAUGAUCUCGAGGUCCUGGGACGGAGCCCCUUGUCCUGGGAUCGAGUCCUGCAUGGUGCUCCCUGCUGAGCAGGGAGUCUGCUUCUCCCUCUCCCUCUGCCACCUGCCCCUGGCUUGUGCUCUCUCUGCCUCUCUCAAAUAA